AUUGAACGCUGGCGGCAGGCCUAAAACAUUCAAGUCGAACGAGUGGCGGACGGGUGAGUAAUGUCUGGGAAAAUGCCUGAUGGAGGGGGAUAACUACUGGAAACGGUAGCUAAUACCGCAUACCAUCAGAUGUGCCCAGAUGGGCUUAGCUUGUUGGUGGGGUAACGGCUCACCAAGGCGACGCUCCCUAGCUGGUCUGAGAGUAUGACCAGCCACACUGUAACUGAGACACGGGCCAGACUCCGACUGGAGUCAGAAGUGGGGAAUAUUGCACAAUGGGCGAGAGCCUGAUGCAGCCAUGCCGCGUGUAUGAAGAAGGCCUUCGGGUUGUAAAGUACUUUCAGCGGGGAGGCGUUACCCGCAGAAGAGGCACCGGCUAACUCCGUGCCAGCAGCCGCGGUAAUAC
rnacentral:rRNA from 1 species